UACGUAGGGGCAAGCGUUGUCCGGAUUUAUUGGGCGUAAGCGCUCGCAGGUGGUCCGAUGCGUCGUGCGUGAAAGACCCCGGCUCAACUGGGGGGUGUCGUGCGAUACGGUCGGACUGGAGGCCAGUAGGGGGAUGCGGAAUUCCGGGUGUAGCGGUGAAAUGCGUAGAUAUCUGAAGGAACAUCAGUGGCGAAAGCGACUUCCUGGACCAAUACCGACGCUCAUGUGCGAAAGCGUGGGGAGCAAACAGGAUUAGAGUACCCUAAGUAGU
rnacentral:rRNA from 1 species